AACGCACCUUGCACCCUUUGGUAUUCCGAAGGGUACGCCCGUUUGAGUGUCAUUGUAAUCUCACUUCUACAACUUUAUUGUUGUUUGAAUGUGGACUUGGAUGUUGCCGUUUUAUCACGGCUCGUCUUAAAUGCCUGAGUGUACCCUGUUUUGCAGCGUAUCCAGUGUAAUAAACAUUUCACUAGAGUUGGUCGAAAGACCGCGUUGCCUAUAUGGGCUCUAUGCUUCAAACCGUCUACCAUGUGGACAAUUUCUUGACAAUUUGACCUCAAAUCGGGUGGGACUACCCGCUGAACUUAA
rnacentral:misc_RNA from 1 species